GGAAAGAUACCGUACGAUUCAAACCAGAAGAAUCAGUGGAAUACACAGAUCUCGUGGUGUGUUAUGGAAGAACGAAAGAGAACGAGGACGAAGGAAAGAACAUUUAUUUUCUACCAAAGUUUCGAUUUAAGUCGAGUGACGAUCACUUGACUUGGAUUCCAAACUUUGGGACGAUGGCCGAUCGCUCACUACUCUCCGAGGCUGAAAGGAUUUGGGUAGCUGAACGGAAGCGAGGAAGCCCACUGCGAGUAGAAGAAGUGCUGGAGCAUGAGCGGCGGCGGCGUAGCACUGAUCCCCAUCUGGAAGCAGUAGUACUGCGCCGCGGUGACGGGAAUCGCCGAGGCCCAGACGAGGAAGCAGAGUGGCGGCGGUAGCAGCCAUGGAAUAGGUGUCCAGCUCGAGGCGAUGAGCAAGUUCAUCAGAAACGGUGGGAAAAACAUGGUGAUCGACGGGUGGAAUCGAGUGCCAAAGUUGGAGAAGAGUUUAGGCGAUGAAUCUCACUCGAAGAGAAAGAAGAGAACUCCUUUUUCUUCUCGAUCGUUCUCCUGGUCCUCUUGAGAAGGCUCUACACUCACACCUGGAAGAACUUGGGAGAGAGCAAUAGUUCUAAGUAGAAAGAAAAACACUAUGCUCACUUAUAGCAAGCUAGAAAACGCACAAUCCACUUUUACCCGGAGAAGGCCACGCAUGCGCGAAUUGGAGGAAUCAAAGACUCACAUUCCUAGCGUUCGUUCUUCCUCUCCUCCUCUUCUCUCUCUCUCUCUCGCACCAAUUCCUUGCUUUGUUCGCUCGCUAUAAACAAAGCGCCUUAAAUGAUGCGCAACGGACGAUCAAACAAGAGAGAAGAAAGGAUCGAAACAAAAGCAGUGAAAAAACUCGCGAGAGAAAGAGAGAAAGCGCUGCGCUGCGCAGCGCCCCCUCCACAGCAAAGCAGCGAAUUAGGGCAGAAAAGCUGGAAGAAGAACAAAGUGUUAAAC
rnacentral:lncRNA from 1 species